GGGCAUGUUGCUCAGAGGAAGAGUAUUUGCCUAGGAUGCAUGAGGCCCUGGGUUCAAUCCCCAGUAUUCCCA
rnacentral:tRNA from 1 species